CUACGGGAUGCAGCAGUGGGGAAUAUUGCACAAUGGGCGCAAGCCUGAUGCAGCCAUGCCGCGUGUAUGAAGAAGGCCUUCGGGUUGUAAAGUACUUUCAGCGGGGAGGAAGGGAGUAAAGUUAAUACCUUUGCUCAUUGACGUUACCCGCAGAAGAAGCACCGGCUAACUCCGUGCCAGCAGCCGCGGUAAUACGGAGGGUGCAAGCGAUAAUCGGAAUUACUGGGCGUACAGCGCACGCAGGCGGUUUGUUAAGUCAGAUGUGAAAUCCCCGGGCGCAACCUGGGAACUGCAUCUGAUACUGGCAAGCUUGAGUCUCGUAGAGGGGGGUAGAAUUCCAGGUGUAGCGGUGAUAUGCGUAGAGAUCUGGAGGAAUACCGGUGGCGAAGGCGGCCCCCUGGACGAAGACUGACGCUCAGGUGCGAAAGCGUGGGGAGCAAACAGGAUUAGAUACCCCCGUAGUC
rnacentral:rRNA from 1 species